UACGGAGGGUGCAAGCGUUAAUCGGAAUUACUGGGCGUAAAGCGUACGCAGGCGGUUUGUUAAGUCAGAUGUGAAAUCCCCGGGCUUAACCUGGGAACUGCAUUUGAAACUGGCAGGCUUGAGUCUUGUAGAGGGGGGUAGAAUUCCAGGUGUAGCGGUGAAAUGCGUAGAGAUGUGGAGGAAUACCGGUGGCGAAGGCGGCCUCCUGGACAAGGACUGACGCUCAGGUGCGAAAGCGUGGGGAGCAAACAGG
rnacentral:rRNA from 1 species